CGUCUCCGAGAAUAACCGCCACAAAGCCUGCCGUUACUUUAAAUGCUGUCCUCAGUGAGACGAGCAGUCAAAUCAUGGCUGCAGGCUGCAUUCCCAUCAAGCACAGACAAAGAUGGAACUGGGACCAUGAAGGCAGCUCUUCAGCAUGUCCAGCCUUGUAAGAUGACGCCGUGGAAAUUGCAGUUGAGAUUUUUCUUUCUUGAAUCCAUCUUACAAGUUACCCAGGAGAGUAUGAAGAAGAUGGAAGGUAUUAUUUUUCUUGUGGGAGGAAAAUCUUUCAAUAAUUAGUGGAGAUUUUGCAGUUGUAGUAAUUCUGAUAUUGUCUUUCUUAAACUUUGCAUAUUAUUGCUGUCCGAUGAACACUGCAUCCUCUUGUGCCAUUUUAUUAUAAAUGUAUUAAGCCAGUUCUCCUAUGUCUACUGAUAGUUUGACAUCUAAUUAACCAAUUAAAAGAUGUUUUACAUAGUAAUCUAAUUAACUAUUAUAUAUCUUUGUACUAGUUCACAUUGGUUGUUUGUAUGGAUUACUUUAUAUUGCUAAGUGUAAUGACUUGAAGUUGAUAGCUAGAUACUGUAGCUACUGUAGCUAACGUCGUUGUUAAUUGUGAAUACAAAGUGUGAUUAACUUAUAUCUUUUUGACGCUGAAAACAAUCCACGCAAGUCCAUUUAAAUCAUUAAAUGGUUCACUGACA